GAUGAACGCUGGCGGCGUGCCUAAUACAUGCAAGUCGAGCGAACGGACGAGAAGCUUGCUUCUCUGAUGUUAGCGGCGGACGGGUGAGUAACACGUGGAUAACCUACCUAUAAGACUGGGAUAACUUCGGGAAACCGGAGCUAAUACCGGAUAAUAUUUUGAACCGCAUGGUUCAAAAGUGAAAGACGGUCUUGCUGUCACUUAUAGAUGGAUCCGCGCUGCAUUAGCUAGUUGGUAAGGUAACGGCUUACCAAGGCAACGAUGCAUAGCCGACCUGAGAGGGUGAUCGGCCACACUGGAACUGAGACACGGUCCAGACUCCUACGGGAGGCAGCAGUAGGGAAUCUUCCGCAAUGGGCGAAAGCCUGACGGAGCAACGCCGCGUGAGUGAUGAAGGUCUUCGGAUCGUAAAACUCUGUUAUUAGGGAAGAACAUAUGUGUAAGUAACUGUGCACAUCUUGACGGUACCUAAUCAGAAAGCCACGGCUAACUACGUGCCAGCAGCCGCGGUAAUACGUAGGUGGCAAGCGUUAUCCGGAAUUAUUGGGCGUAAAGCGCGCGUAGGCGGUUUUUUAAGUCUGAUGUGAAAGCCCACGGCUCAACCGUGGAGGGUCAUUGGAAACUGGAAAACUUGAGUGCAGAAGAGGAAAGUGGAAUUCCAUGUGUAGCGGUGAAAUGCGCAGAGAUAUGGAGGAACACCAGUGGCGAAGGCGACUUUCUGGUCUGUAACUGACGCUGAUGUGCGAAAGCGUGGGGAUCAAACAGGAUUAGAUACCCUGGUAGUCCACGCCGUAAACGAUGAGUGCUAAGUGUUAGGGGGUUUCCGCCCCUUAGUGCUGCAGCUAACGCAUUAAGCACUCCGCCUGGGGAGUACGACCGCAAGGUUGAAACUCAAAGGAAUUGACGGGGACCCGCACAAGCGGUGGAGCAUGUGGUUUAAUUCGAAGCAACGCGAAGAACCUUACCAAAUCUUGACAUCCUUUGACAACUCUAGAGAUAGAGCCUUCCCCUUCGGGGGACAAAGUGACAGGUGGUGCAUGGUUGUCGUCAGCUCGUGUCGUGAGAUGUUGGGUUAAGUCCCGCAACGAGCGCAACCCUUAAGCUUAGUUGCCAUCAUUAAGUUGGGCACUCUAAGUUGACUGCCGGUGACAAACCGGAGGAAGGUGGGGAUGACGUCAAAUCAUCAUGCCCCUUAUGAUUUGGGCUACACACGUGCUACAAUAGACAAUACAAAGGGCAGCGAAACCGCGAGGUCAAGCAAAUCCCAUAAAGUUGUUCUCAGUUCGGAUUGUAGUCUGCAACUCGACUACAUGAAGCUGGAAUCGCUAGUAAUCGUAGAUCAGCAUGCUACGGUGAAUACGUUCCCGGGUCU
rnacentral:rRNA from 1 species